rnacentral:rRNA from 1 species
UACGGAGGGUGCGAGCGUUGUCCGGAAUCACUGGGCGUAAAGGGUGCGUAGGCGGGGUUUUAAGUCAGGGGUGAAAUCCUGGAGCUCAACUCCAGAACUGCCUUUGAUACUGAAGAUCUUGAGUCCGGGAGAGGUGAGUGGAACUGCGAGUGUAGAGGUGAAAUUCGUAGAUAUUCGCAAGAACACCAGUGGCGAAGGCGGCCCCCUGGGCCGGCCCUGACACUGAGACGCGAAGGCGUGGGGAGCGAACGGG